rnacentral:lncRNA from 1 species
UGCCCCUAUUGAAACGAAUUUUCAAAUGCAAACAGAGUAAUAAAGAUGAGUCAGCUGAAGCGCUAGUUGUUGCACCCUAGGAUUUGAGGAAAUGGAUGUCCAGCUCCAGAAGGUAAAUACUGUGAGUCGUGCUGUACCUAGGGGAAUGGUAGCUUGGAAGUAGAAGAUACGAAGAUUACGCUCCUUCCAUGAACACCAAGAAGCAGUGGC